UGGGGAAUCUUGCGCAAUGGGCGGAAGCCUGACGCAGCGACGCCGCGUGGGGGAUGAAGGCCUUCGGGUUGUAAACCUCUUUCAGCAGGGACGAAGCUGACGUGUACCUGCAGAAGAAGCGCCGGCUAACUACGUGCCAGCAGCCGCGGUAAUACGUAGGGCGCGAGCGUUGUCCGGAUUCACUGGGCGUAAAGGGCUCGUAGGCGGCCUGUCGCGUCGGCUGUGAAAGUCCGGAGCUCAACUCCGGGAUUGCAGCCGAUACGGGCAGGCUAGAGGGCGGUAGAGGGGAGUGGAAUUCCCGGUGUAGCGGUGAAAUGCGCAGAUAUCGGGAGGAACACCAGUGGCGAAGGCGGCUCCCUGGGCCGUCCCUGACGCUGAGGAGCGAAAGCGUGGGGAGCGAACA
rnacentral:rRNA from 2 species